AUGCAUAUCUCCUAUUAAUUCAGAGAGGUCAAUUUCAUCUUGACUCACACACCGACUUGAUAAGUACUUGACUACAUCCAGUAUCCUUUCGUGACAAAGUUAAAAACUCAGAUGGUCCGAUACUAAAGUACAAUGAAUUGCUUACAAGUCACCGUGGUGGUAUCAUAUUAGAGGGAUACUUAUACCCAUAUCCUUCACGAGCUACUCUUGACAGUAGAAUACUCGGUAC
rnacentral:lncRNA from 1 species